rnacentral:rRNA from 1 species
AGAGUUUGAUCCUGGCUCAGGACGAACGCUGGCGGCGUGCCUAACACAUGCAAGUCGAGCGGGGAACAUUGAAAGCUUGCUUUUGGUGUUUCUAGCGGCGGACGGGUGAGUAACGCGUGAGCAAUCUGUCUCAGACAGGGGGAUAACGCAGCGAAAGUUGCACUAAUACCGCAUAAGACCACAGAGCCACAUGGCAUAGGGGUCAAAGGAGCAAUCCGGUCUGAGGUGAGCUCGCGUCCCAUUAGGUAGUUGGUGAGGUAACGGCCCACCAAGCCUGCGAUGGGUAGCCGACCUGAGAGGGUGAUCGGCCACACUGGAACUGAGACACGGUCCAGACUCCUACGGGAGGCAGCAGUGGGGAAUAUUGGGCAAUGGGGGAAACCCUGACCCAGCAACGCCGCGUGAGGGAAGAAGGUUUUCGGAUUGUAAACCUCUGUCCUAAGAGAAGAGGGGAAGACGGUAUCUUAGGAGGAAGCCCCGGCUAACUACGUGCCAGCAGCCGCGGUAAUACGUAGGGGGCGAGCGUUGUCCGGAAUGAUUGGGCGUAAAGGGCGUGUAGGCGGCUUUAUAAGUCUGGAGUGAAAGUCCUGUUUUCAAGAUGGGAAUUGCUUUGGAUACUGUAGGGCUUGAGUGCAGGAGAGGUUAUCGGAAUUCCCGGUGUAGCGGUGAAAUGCGUAGAGAUCGGGAGGAACACCAGUGGCGAAGGCGGGUAACUGGACUGCAACUGACGCUGAGGCGCGAAAGUGUGGGGAGCAAACAGGAUUAGAUACCCUGGUAGUCCACACUGUAAACGAUGAAUGCUAGGUGUAGGGGGUAUCGACCCCUUCUGUGCCGGAGUAAACACAAUAAGCAUUCCGCCUGGGGAGUACGGCCGCAAGGUUGAAACUCAAAGGAAUUGACGGGGGCCCGCACAAGCAGCGGGGCAUGUGGUUUAAUUCGACGCAACGCGAAGAACCUUACCAGGUCUUGACAUCCACUUAAAGCCAUAGAGAUAUGGUGUGAGCUUGCUCGAAGGAGACAGGUGGUGCAUGGUUGUCGUCAGCUCGUGUCGUGAGAUGUUGGGUUAAGUCCCGCAACGAGCGCAACCCCUAUCCCCAGUAGCCAGCAUUUAAGGUGGGCACUCUGAGGAGACUGCCAGGGAUAACCUGGAGGAAGGCGGGGAUGACGUCAAAUCAUCAUGCCCCUUAUGAUUUGGGCUACACACGUGCUACAAUGGCGUAAACAAAGGGAAGCGAACCCGCGAGGGUGGGCAAAUCCCAAAAAUAACGUCCCAGUUCGGACUGUAGUCUGCAACCCGACUACACGAAGCUGGAAUCGCUAGUAAUCGCGGAUCAGAAUGCCGCGGUGAAUACGUUCCCGGGUCUUGUACACACCGCCCGUCACACCAUGGGAGUCAGUAACGCCCGAAGUCAGUGACCUAACCGUAAGGAGGGAGCUGCCGAAGGCGGGACCGAUGACUGGGGUGAAGUCGUAACAAGGUA